rnacentral:rRNA from 1 species
UACGGAGGAUCCGAGCGUUAUCCGGAUUUAUUGGGUUUAAAGGGUGCGCAGGCGGGAGAUUAAGUCGGCGGUGAAAUUUUGCAGCUCAACUGUAAAAGUGCCUUCGAAACUGGUUUCCUUGAGUGUGGAUGAAGUAGGCGGAAUUUGUGGUGUAGCGGUGAAAUGCGUAGAUAUCUGGAAGAACACCAGUAGCGAAGGCGGCUUUCUGGACUGAUACUGACGCUGAGGCACGCAAGCGUGGGUAUAAAACAGGAUUAGAUACCCUGGUAGUCCACGCUGUAAACUAUGAUUACUGGCUGUUUGCGAUACACCGCAAGUGACUGAGCGAAAGCAUUAAGUAAUCCACCUGGGGAGUACGUCGGCAACGAUGGA